rnacentral:rRNA from 1 species
GGGGUGAAAGGCCAAUCAAACCGGGAGAUAGCUGGUUCUCCCCGAAAGCUAUUUAGGUAGCGCCUCGUGAAUUCAUCUUCGGGGGUAGAGCACUGUUUCGGCUAGGGGGUCAUCCCGACUUACCAACCCGAUGCAAACUACGAAUACCGAAGAAUGUUAUCACGGGAGACACACGGCGGGUGCUAACGUCCGUCGUGAAGAGGGAAACAACCCAGACCGCCAGCUAAGGUCCCAAAGUCAUGGUUAAGUGGGAAACGAUGUGGGAAGGCACAGACAGCCAGGAUGUUGGCUUAGAAGCAGCCAUCAUUUAAAGAAAGCGUAAUAGCUCACUGGUCGAGUCGGCCUGCGCGGAAGAUGUAACGGGGCUAAACCAUGCACCGAAGCUGCGGCAGCGACACUAUGUGUUGUUGGGUAGGGGAGCGUUCUGUAAGCCUGCGAAGGUGACCUGUGAGGGUUGCUGGAGGUAUCAGAAGUGCGAAUGCUGACAUAAGUAACGAUAAAGCGGGUGAAAAGCCCGCUCGCCGGAAGACCAAGGGUUCCUGUCCAACGUUAAUCGGGGCAGGGUGAGUCGACCCCUAAGGCGAGGCCGAAAGGCGUAGUCGAUGGGAAACAGGUUAAUAUUCCUGUACUUGGUGUUACUGCGAAGGGGGGACGGAGAAGGCUAUGUUAGCCGGGCGACGGUUGUCCCGGUUUAAGCAUGUAGGCUGGUUAUCCAGGCAAAUCCGGAUAAUCAAGGCUGAGGUGUGAUGACGAGGCACUACGGUGCUGAAGUAACAAAUGCCCUGCUUCCAGGAAAAGCCUCUAAGCAUCAGGUAACAUCAAAUCGUACCCCAAACCGACACAGGUGGUCAGGUAGAGAAUACCAAGGCGCUUGAGAGAACUCGGGUGAAGGAACUAGGCAAAAUGGUGCCGUAACUUCGGGAGAAGGCACGCUGGUGUGUAGGUGAAGUCCCUGCGGAUGGAGCUGAGACCAGUCGAAGAUACCAGCUGGCUGCAACUGUUUAUUAAAAACACAGCACUGUGCAAACACGAAAGUGGACGUAUACGGUGUGACGCCUGCCCGGUGCCGGAAGGUUAAUUGAUGGGGUUAUCCGUAAGGAGAAGCUCUUGAUCGAAGCCCCGGUAAACGGCGGCCGUAACUAUAACGGUCCUAAGGUAGCGAAAUUCCUUGUCGGGUAAGUUCCGACCUGCACGAAUGGCGUAAUGAUGGCCAGGCUGUCUCCACCCGAGACUCAGUGAAAUUGAACUCGCUGUGAAGAUGCAGUGUACCCGCGGCAAGACGGAAAGACCCCGUGAACCUUUACUAUAGCUUGACACUGAACAUUGAGCCUUGAUGUGUAGGAUAGGUGGGAGGCUUUGAAGCGUGGACGCCAGUCUGCGUGGAGCCAACCUUGAAAUACCACCCUUUAAUGUUUGAUGUUCUAACGUUGGCCCCUGACCGGGGUUGCGGACAGUGUCUGGUGGGUAGUUUGACUGGGGCGGUCUCCUCCCAAAGCGUAACGGAGGAGCACGAAGGUUAGCUAAUCCUGGUCGGACAUCAGGAGGUUAGUGCAAUGGCAUAAGCUAGCUUGACUGCGAGCGUGACGGCGCGAGCAGGUGCGAAAGCAGGUCAUAGUGAUCCGGUGGUUCUGAAUGGAAGGGCCAUCGCUCAACGGAUAAAAGGUACUCCGGGGAUAACAGGCUGAUACCGCCCAAGAGUUCAUAUCGACGGCGGUGUUUGGCACCUCGAUGUCGGCUCAUCACAUCCUGGGGCUGAAGUAGGUCCCAAGGGUAUGGCUGUUCGCCAUUUAAAGUGGUACGCGAGCUGGGUUUAGAACGUCGUGAGACAGUUCGGUCCCUAUCUGCCGUGGGCGCUGGAGAAUUGAGGGGGGCUGCUCCUAGUACGAGAGGACCGGAGUGGACGCAUCACUGGUGUUCGGGUUGUCAUGCCAAUGGCACUGCCCGGUAGCUAAAUGCGGAAGAGAUAAGUGCUGAAAGCAUCUAAGCACGAAACUUGCCCCGAGAUGAGUUCUCCCUGAGACUUUAAGUCUCCUGAAGGAACGUUAAAGACGAUGACGUUGAUAGGCCGGGUGUGUAAGCGCAGCGAUGCGUUGAGCUAACCGGUACUAAUGAACCGUGAGGCUUAACCUU